rnacentral:misc_RNA from 1 species
AACCAACAGGGAUUGCCCCAGUAACGGCGAGUGAAGCGGCAAGAGCUCAAAUUUGAAAUCUGGCCCCGUCGGGGUCCGAGUUGUAAUUUGCAGAGGAUGCUUCGGGUGCGGCCCCCGUCUAAGUGCCCUGGAACGGGCCGCCGGAGAGGGUGAGAGUCCCGUCUGGGACGGGUGGCCGCGUCCGUGUGAAGCUCCUUCGACGAGUCGAGUUGUUUGGGAAUGCAGCUCUAAAUGGGUGGUAAAUUUCAUCUAAAGCUAAAUAUUGGCCGGAGACCGAUAGCGCACAAGUAGAGUGAUCGAAAGAUGAAAAGCACUUUGAAAAGAGAGUUAAAUAGCACGUGAAAUUGUUGAAAGGGAAGCGCUUGCGACCAGACUCGCCCGCGGGGGUUCAGCCGGCACUCGUGCCGGUGCACUCCCCCGCGGGCGGGCCAGCGUCGGUUUGGGCGGUCGGUCAAAGGCCCCCGGAAUGUGUCGCCCCUCGGGGCGUCUUAUAGCCGGGGGUGCAAUGCGGCCAGCCCGGACCGAGGACCGCGCUUCGGCAUGGACGCUGGCGUAAUGGUCGUAAGCGACCCGUCUUGAAACACGGACCAAGGAGUCUAACAUCUACGCGAGUGUUCGGGUGUUAAACCCGUCCGCGCAGUGAAAGCGAACGGAGGUGGGAACCCCUCGCGGGUGCACCAUCGACCGAUCCUGAUGUCUUCGGAUGGAUUUGAGUAAGAGCGUAGCUGUUGGGACCCGAAAGAUGGUGAACUAUGCCUGAAUAGGGCGAAGCCAGAGGAAACUCUGGUGGAGGCUCGCAGCGGUUCUGACGUGCAAAUCGAUCGUCAAAUUUGGGUAUAGGGGCGAAAGACUAAUCGAACCAUCUAGUAGCUGGUUCCUGCCGA